CAGAGAAUGUCAACAUGAUGUCCUCUUGGUAAAGACGCCCUGUUGCUGCAAGAAAGUAACUUAAUGAUCUCUUAUGUCAUGAUGUGUGUCAUCAUGUACCUUCCUCUACAUCCAGAGCUAAGGGUCAGUGGCUCUUUCUCAUUCCAACCAUAAGUCAACUCAAAGGACCUUGCUCUGUGGCAAAAACAGCAUCAACAUGUUUGGAUGGUGUUCAGGGCACACCUUUAACUUGAGGCUGGACCACUGACUACCAUCGACCACCGCUUGAGCGAGGAAAAUGUCUUCUUUUGCACGUUCCUCUGAGCUCUUCAGGAAAUCGGCGCAUACCUGAACUACCUGAACAAAACACUUCCCCUGUGGGGAGAGUAGAAAUAGGCAAGAGGUUGUCACAGAAAAUGGGUUGAAGGAUGGCGGUGAUUUGAUACCCAGUUUAGAGUUUACAAGAUGCCUGGAGUGUGUGGCUCAAUGCGGUGAACUCAAAGGUGAUCUCUCUACUCUUCCUCUUCUGACAGCCAGGUCACGUAAGGUCACUUUGCCAAUAUUUGUUCCCCUCAGAGUUUGGAUGAUGUCGGAAAAAGUCUAGAUGGUUGAGGGGGUACAGUUAUUUUCUCAAACUUUUCAAAAACAAACAAAGGAAAUCUAUUACUUACAACGAAAAAGAGAUCAGGCCAAUCAAUAAAAGGAAAAUACUAAGUAAAGGUUUGAGGUGACACCAUGUAAAAUCUCUUUGUGAGAAGUGGUAGCUCUGAGAAGAGCUGGCUUGGUUUGAACUGCUUGACAUUACGGUCACCGUGCUCUGACCGUCUUCUGGAGACUGCCAAAAAGAGAUUAAAAAUUAAGUUUUGUGGGUGCCCCGGCUUAAAGGCAGUGGACACUAUUGGU